UCCGUCUCCUCCGCCACGAAUCCAUCCACAGCCGCGGCCAUCGUCUUACGGCGCCGGAAUAUCGCCACCGGGCCUGGCGUGUAGGAUUAGUUCGCGGUCAGCGGCGAGGGAGGCAGCGACUGCCGGCGUGGAGAGGAGGAGCAUCGGGGUCGCGCACCGGCGAGUGUCCCUCGUUCCCCACGCCGGCUGCAGAUACGGGGACGAGUGCAGCGGCGACGGGCGGAAGCGGGACGCGGGGCGGAGCGGGUGGACACGCCGGCGGCUUCAGUUCAUGAUCCACAUUCAGCCAGUCAUUCAUUGGCAGGUAGAAGUCCUGCGAAGCACAUACAUUGUUUUUCCCCAUCUAAUUUACGUAAAGAGCUUGAUGGAGCUAUCCAUGUGCCUCCAGGUGCCUAGUCUUGCAUACUUUGGUUAGCUUCUCUGAACGGUCUCGUGAAUAAAAACCUCUGCCGCACCAACACCUGAUAGAUUGCAUCGGUUUCUGCUCAAGUGCAUAAUGCAAUCUUCCGUCUUUGAUAAAACACUGCCAGGUCCCACGCACGCUAAAUCUAAUGAACGUUUUAGGUCUAUUUCAGGAUAUGGAACAUAAGGAAACCCCCCUUUAAGGGAGCAGGUGAGGAUUCCCGAGGAAGAGCAGCUUGCUUCAAACAAUAUUGGCACAAUGGGUCUCAUUCUAGAUUCAAGUUUUCGUAACUACAGUCACUGUCAAUGCUCUUUUAGUUGUACAUGUCUUCUCUCUAUCUUUGAUAAUUUAGCAAGCUUAAUGUCAGUUUUGUGAGUUUAAUUUUGUGGUACUUUUUUGAUUUUUAUCAGCUCAUGUAGCCCUAACAUUUGUAUCUGACAUGCAGAUUAGUUUGGGCGCAUUUGUGCUUGUGUUCAAGCCAUGCGAUGAACUCAUUGUUCACAACAAGGACUUUGAUGUUUCUGCUCUGAAGAAGUUCACUGAAGCUGGCAACACCCUGAACUCUGGCAACCGUUCUUGCCUCUUCAAAUUCUUGUAGAGCAAUGCUUCACACAGUAGCCACUGAUGCAGCUUGCUUUCUAUGGAGCUUGAUUAUUACAUACUUCUAUAUGUAUCGUUUUGAAGAUCAAUAUCAGCUAGCUACG